rnacentral:rRNA from 1 species
GCUUAACACAUGCAAGUCGAGGGGCAGCAUGGUUUUAGCUUGCUAAGGCCGAUGGCGACCGGCGCACGGGUGAGUAACACGUAUCCAACCUGCCGUCUACUCUUGGACAGCCUUCUGAAAGGAAGAUUAAUACAAGAUGGCAUCAUGAGUCCGCAUGUUCACAUGAUUAAAGGUAUUCCGGUAGACGAUGGGGAUGCGUUCCAUUAGAUAGUAGGCGGGGUAACGGCCCACCUAGUCUUCGAUGGAUAGGGGUUCUGAGAGGAAGGUCCCCCACAUUGGAACUGAGACACGGUCCAAACUCCUACGGGAGGCAGCAGUGAGGAAUAUUGGUCAAUGGACGAGAGCCUGAACCAGCCAAGUAGCGUGAAGGAUGACUGCCCUAUGGGUUGUAAACUUCUUUUAUAAAGGAAUAAAGUCGGGUAUGGAUACCCGUUUGCAUGUACUUUAUGAAUAAGGAUCGGCUAACUCCGUGCCAGCAGCCGCGGUAAUACGGAGGAUCCGAGCGUUAUCCGGAUUUAUUGGGUUUAAAGGGAGCGUAGAUGGAUGUUUAAGUCAGUUGUGAAAGUUUGCGGCUCAACCGUAAAAUUGCAGUUGAUACUGGAUAUCUUGAGUGCAGUUGAGGCAGGCGGAAUUCGUGGUGUAGCGGUGAAAUGCUUAGAUAUCACGAAGAACUCCGAUUGCGAAGGCAGCCUGCUAAGCUGCAACUGACAUUGAGGCUCGAAAGUGUGGGUAUCAAACAGGAUUAGAUACCCUGGUAGUCCACACGGUAAACGAUGAAUACUCGCUGUUUGCGAUAUACAGCAAGCGGCCAAGCGAAAGCGUUAAGUAUUCCACCUGGGGAGUACGCCGGCAACGGUGAAACUCAAGGGAAUUGACGGGGGCCCGCACAAGCGGAGGAACAUGUGGUUUAAUUCGAUGAUACGCGAGGAACCUUACCCGGGCUUAAAUUGCAGAUGAAUUACGGUGAAAGCCGUAAGCCGCAAGGCAUCUGUGAAGGUGCUGCAUGGUUGUCGUCAGCUCGUGCCGUGAGGUGUCGGCUUAAGUGCCAUAACGAGCGCAACCCUUGUUGUCAGUUACUAACAGGUUCUGCUGAGGACUCUGACGAGACUGCCAUCGUAAGAUGUGAGGAAGGUGGGGAUGACGUCAAAUCAGCACGGCCCUUACGUCCGGGGCUACACACGUGUUACAAUGGGGGGUACAGAGGGCCGCUACCACGCGAGUGGAUGCCAAUCCCCAAAACCUCUCUCAGUUCGGACUGGAGUCUGCAACCCGACUCCACGAAGCUGGAUUCGCUAGUAAUCGCGCAUCAGCCACGGCGCGGUGAAUACGUUCCCGGGCCUUGUACACACCGCCCGUCAAGCCAUGGGAGCCGGGGGUACCUGAAGUGCGUAACCGCGAGGAGCGCCCUAGGGUAAAACUGGUGACUGGGGCUAAGU